UACGAAGGGUGCUAGCGUUGUUCGGAAUUACUGGGCGUAAAGCGUAGGUAGGCGGUUUACCAAGUCAGGGGUGAAAUCCCGAGGCUCAACCUCGGAAUUGCCUUUGAAACUGGUAGGCUAGAGAAUGUUAGAGGCAAGUGGAAUUCCUAGUGUAGGAGUGAAAUCCGUAGAUAUUAGGAGGAACAUCAAUGGCGAAGGCAGCUUGCUGGGACAUUACUGACGCUGAGCUACGAAAGCGUGGGGAGCAAACAGG
rnacentral:rRNA from 1 species